CCUACGGGUGGCAGCAGUGAGGAAUAUUGGUCAAUGGACGCGAGUCUGAACCAGCCAUGUCGCGUGCAGGAAGACGGCCCUAUGAGUUGUAAACUUCUUUUGUACGAGAGUAAACGCAGCUACGCGUGUCUGUCUGAAAGUAUCUUAUGAAUAAGGCUCGGCUAACUCCGUUCCAGCAGCCGCGGUAAUACGGAGGAUUCAAGCGUUAUCCGGAUUUCUUGGGGUUAAAGGGUGCGUAGGCGGUCUGAUAAGUUCGAGGUGAAAUCCCGAGGCUCAACCUCGUAAUUGCCAUUGAUACUGGCCGGCUUGAGAGGAGUUGCGGUAGGCGGAAUGUGUGGUGUAGCGGUGAAAUGCUUAGAUAUCAUACAGAACCCCGAUUGCGAAGGCAGCUUACCAAGCUACUUCUGACGUUGAGGCACGAAAGCGUGGGGAGCAAACAGGAUUAGAUACCCCAGUAGUC
rnacentral:rRNA from 1 species